UACGUAGGCAGCAAGCGUUGUUCGGAAUUACUGGGCGUAAAGAGCGCGCAGGCGGUCGAUCAAGUCGAGUGUGAAAGCCCCCGGCUCAACUGGGGAGGGUCAUUCGAUACUGAUCGACUCGAAGGCAGGAGAGGGUAGUGGAAUUCCCGGUGUAGUGGUGAAAUGCGUAGAUAUCGGGAGGAACACCAGUGGCGAAGGCGACUACCUGGCCUGUUCUUGACGCUGAGGCGCGAAAGCUAGGGGAGCAAACGGG
rnacentral:rRNA from 1 species